CCUAGAGUUGUAGGCUUUGCCUGCUAUCUCUUACCCAUGUCUUUUGAGUACCUUCGUUUCCUCGGCGGGUCCGCCCGCCGAUUGGACAAUUUAAACCAUUUGCAGUUGCAAUCGGCGUCUGAAAAAACUUAAUAGUUA
rnacentral:misc_RNA from 1 species